rnacentral:rRNA from 1 species
GGAAAACUCUAUCCAUUACAAGAGAGUAGAGGGGGAGAAACAUCAUAAGAUCCAACUAUAAUAGCAAAGCUCACGAUACAUCAAGAUCGUGUGAAGUCGAGAACACGAGAGAGAGAGAGAGAGAGAGAGAGAGAGAGAGAGAUCAAACACAUAGCUACUGGUACAUACCCUCAGCCCCGAGGGUGAACUACUCCCUCCUCAUCAUGGAGAGCGCCGGGAUGAUGAAGAUGGCCACCGGUGAUGGGUUCCCCCUCCGGCAGGGUGCCAGAACGGGCUCCCGGGAGGUUUUUGGUGGCUACAGAGGCUUACGGCGGCGGAACUCCCGAUCUAUCUUCUUUUCGAUGUUUUUAGGGUACGUAGGCUUAUAUAGGCGAAAGAAGUCGGCCGGGAGAGCCUCGAGCGGCCCACAAGAGGGUAGGGCGCCCAGGGGGGUGGGAGCGCCCCCUGUCUCGUGGCCUCCUCGAUGAUCUUCUGGCGUGAACUCCAAGUCUCCCGGAUCAUAUUCUUCCUAAAAAUCACGCUCCCGAAGGUUUCAUUCCGUUUGGACUCCGUUUGAUAUUCCUUUUCUUCGAAAUACUGAAACAGGCAAUAAAACAGCAAUAUGGGCUGGGCCUCCGGUUAGUAGGUUAGUCCCAAAAGUAAUAUAAAAGUGUAUAAUAAAGCCCAUAAUCAUUCAAAACAGAUAAUAAAAUAGCAUGAAUGCUUCAUAAAUUAUAGAUACGUUGGAGACGUAUCAUUCCCCCUCUGUCAGAGUGCCGGAACGGGGUCUAGAUUGGUUUUCGGUGGCUACAGAGCCUUGCGGCGGUGGAACUUCUAAUCUAGGGUUACCCCGAGGGUUUUUGGAAUAUUUGGGAAUUUAUAGUGCGAAGAGGGGGUGCGGGAGGCCACCGAGGUGGGCACAACUAACCUGGGCACGCCUGGUCCCCCAGGCGCACCCUGGUGGGUUGUUCCCCCCUCGGGGCACCCCCAGAUGCUGCUCUGGCCCAAUGGAUGUCUUCUGGUCCAUAAAAAAUCCACAAAAAGUUUCACGGUGUUUGGACUCUGUUUGAUAUUGAUUUCCCGCGAUGUAAAAAACAAGCAAAAAAACAGCAACUGACACUGGGCACUGGGUCAAUAGGUUAGUCCUAAAAAAUGAUAUAAAGUUGCUAUAAAAUGAUUGUAAAACAUCCAAGAAUGAUAAUAUAACAGCAUGAAUACUUCAUAAAUUAUAGAUACGUUGGAGACGUAUCAUGGUCCUAGAUGGCCGACUCCAUGGUUGGCUUUCUGGUAGGCUCUGUGGUGGCGGUGGUGGCUGCACUUCUUGGCUUUGUGGGCAGCAUGGGGGUAGUGGUGGGAGGCCUUGGCCUGCUUUGGCACUGCUCGGCAUCCUUCUCAGGAGCAUCAAGAUUGAUAGUGUCUGACUGUUGGGGAACGUAGCAUGCAAUUUCAAAAAAAAAUCCUACUAUCACGCAAGAUCUAUCUAGGAGAUGCAUAGCAACGAGAGGGGGAGAGUGUGUCCACAUACCCUCGUAGACCGAAAGCGGAAGCGUUUAACGCGGUUGAUGUAGGCGAACAUCUUCUUGAUUCAACCGAUCAAGUACCGAAUGUACGACACCUCCGAGUUCUGCACACGUUCUGCUCGAUGACGUCCCUCGAACUCUUGAUCUAGCAAAGUGUCGAGGG